UACGAAGGUCGCGAGCGUUGUUCGGAAUCACUGGGCAUAAAGAGUGCGUAGGCGGUUCCGUGUGUCGGGUGUGAAAGCCCUCGGCUCAACCGAGGAAUUGCGCCCGAUACUGCGGGGCUAGAGUGCCGGAGAGGUGACUAGAAUUCCUGGUGGAGCGGUGAAAUGCGUAGAUAUCAGGAGGAAUGCCGGUGGCGAAAGCGGGUCACUAGUCGGCAACUGACGCUGUGGCACGAAAGCCAGGGGAG
rnacentral:rRNA from 1 species